rnacentral:piRNA from 1 species
UGGCAGGUGGAAGCCUUGUAGGAAGGAU